rnacentral:rRNA from 1 species
AGAGUUUGAUCCUGGCUCAGGAUGAACGCUGGCGGUAUGCUUAACACAUGCAAGUCGAACGGGGUGCUUAGGCAUCUAGUGGCGGACGGGUGAGUAACGCGUGAGAAUCUGGCUCCAGGUCGGGGAUAACAGUUGGAAACGACUGCUAAUACCGGAUGUGCCGAGAGGUGAAAGAUUUAUUGCCUGGAGAUGAGCUCGCGUCUGAUUAGCUAGUUGGUGGUGUAAGGGACCACCAAGGCGUCGAUCAGUAGCUGGUCUGAGAGGAUGAUCAGCCACACUGGGACUGAGACACGGCCCAGACUCCUACGGGAGGCAGCAGUGGGGAAUUUUCCGCAAUGGGCGAAAGCCUGACGGAGCAAUACCGCGUGAGGGAGGAAGGCUCUUGGGUCGUAAACCUCUUUUCUCAAGGAAGAAGAAAGUGACGGUACUUGAGGAAUAAGCAUCGGCUAACUCCGUGCCAGCAGCCGCGGUAAUACGGAGGAUGCAAGCGUUAUCCGGAAUGAUUGGGCGUAAAGGGUCUGCAGGUGGAACUGAAAGUCUGCUGUUAAAGAGUUUGGCUUAACCAAAUAAAAGCGGUGGAAACUACAGAACUAGAGUGUGGUAGGGGCAAAAGGAAUUCCUGGUGUAGCGGUGAAAUGCGUAGAUAUCAGGAAGAACACCGGUGGCGAAAGCGUUUUGCUAGACCAUAACUGACACUGAGGGACGAAAGCUAGGGGAGCGAAUGGGAUUAGAUACCCCAGUAGUCCUAGCCGUAAACGAUGGAUACUAGGCGUGGCUUGUAUCGACCCGAGCCGUGCCGGAGCUAACGCGUUAAGUAUCCCGCCUGGGGAGUACGCACGCAAGUGUGAAACUCAAAGGAAUUGACGGGGGCCCGCACAAGCGGUGGAGUAUGUGGUUUAAUUCGAUGCAACGCGAAGAACCGUACCAAGACUUGACAUCCUGCGAAUCCUGGUGAAAGCUGGGAGUGCCUUCGGGAGCGCAGAGACAGGUGGUGCAUGGCUGUCGUCAGCUCGUGUCGUGAGAUGUUGGGUUAAGUCCCGCAACGAGCGCAACCCUCGUUUUUAGUUGCCAGCAUUAAGUUGGGCACUCUAGAGAGACUGCCGGUGACAAACCGGAGGAAGGUGAGGAUGACGUCAAGUCAGCAUGCCCCUUACGUCUUGGGCUACACACGUACUACAAUGCUACGGACAGAGGGCAGCAAGCCAGGGAUGGCAAGCGAAUCCAGAAACCGUAGCUCAGUUCAGAUCGAAGGCUGCAACUCGCCUUCGUGAAGGAGGAAUCGCUAGUAAUUGCAGGUCAGCAUACUGCAGUGAAUUCGUUCCCGGGCCUUGUACACACCGCCCGUCACACCAUGGAAGUUGGUCACGCCCGAAGUCAUUACCCCAACCGAAAGGAGGGGGAUGCCUAAGGUAGGACUGGUGACUGGGGUGAAGUCGUAACAAGGUAGCCGUACCGGAAGGUGUGGCUGGAUCACCUCCUUUUAGGGAGACCUACCCAUUGAAGAAUCGAAAGCCGAAGGCGAAUAGAGAAUCAAAUGGUCUACUCUAGGUCGGUCGAGAAUUGGUCAAGUCUCUUUCAAAGUAUUAUAUUUCCGGUGAUUCCCAGCAACUAGGAAAGACCUAGACUGCUGGUGAGAACCAGCCAGAACCUUGAAAACUGCAUAUAGAUAGAUAAGAGAGCCGAAAUCGAAAGAUAGAAGUAAGUGAAGAACCAAGUGGUCAAGCUAAUAAGGGCUCAUGGUGGAUACCU